rnacentral:lncRNA from 1 species
CUUAAUAAGUUUUUGUAAUAUGUUGUGUUUGUUGACAUGGUAUUCAUGGCUCAAGUUAUAUGGUACAUCACUUGUGGCAAUUUUACAACCUCAAGUGGCAAUUAUACAACCUCAAAAACAUGGUAUUCAUGGCUCAACAGAUUCUUCCAAAUGGAACUGCUUGGAUUCCCAGUUUACUCCAAACUAUUACCGAUGUUGUCUUGAGCGAAAGCAAUGGUAUCUUGGUUGAUCAAAAAUUGAUCGAAGGA